rnacentral:rRNA from 1 species
GCCAUACCUGCUUGUCAAUACCUGAUCUUGAUUAAUCUCAGAAGCUAAACCGGGCUGGGCCCGGUUGGUACUUGGAUGGGAGGCUGCUGGGGAUACCAGGUGC